rnacentral:misc_RNA from 1 species
GAUGAAGAACGUAGCGAAAUGCGAUAAGUAAUGUGAAUUGCAGAAUUCAGUGAAUCAUCGAGUCUUUGAACGCACAUUGCGCCCCCUGGUAUUCCGGGGGGCAUGCCUGUCCGAGCGUCAUUGCCGCCCUCAAGCACGGCUUGUGUGUUGGGCCCCCGCCCCCCGGCUUCGGGGGGCGGGCCCGAAAGGCAGCGGCGGCACCGCGUCCGGUCCUCGAGCGUAUGGGGCUUCGUUACCCGCUCUGUAGGCCCGGCCGGCGCCCGCCGGCGACCCCAAUCAAUCUUUCCAGGUUGACCUCGGAUCAGGUAGGGAUACCCGCUGAACUUAAGCAUAUCAAUAAGCGGAGGA